GAGGGGAUAGCUCAGUGGUAGGGUGCAUGCUUAGCAUGCACAAGGUCCUGGGUUCAAUCCCCAGUACCUCCC
rnacentral:tRNA from 1 species